GUCUCUCUGCGUCUGUUUUGUGCCUUCAGUUAAUCAGAACCUUGUCAUUGCCUGGAUCAUGAGCACGCUGCCGCUUUUCCCUUCAGUAAUCCAGAUGGUUAUCAUCAGUAAUGUAAAUCAGGGAAGAAAGGGCCGGGCGCAGUGGCUCACGACUGCAAUCCCAGCAGUUAGGGAGGCAGAGGCAGGAGGAGAGCUUGAACCCAGAGUUCAAGACCUGCCUGGGCAAAAUAGCAAGACCCUGUUCUCCAACAAAAAAAAAAAAAAAAAAAAAAGAGAGAAAAGAAAAACAAAUAAAUAAAUGGGGGAAGAACUGAUUCUCCUGUUGCUUUAGUCUUCAAUCUUAGAUGAAAUUACAAACCAAAUAUACCAAAGCACACAACUUUCUAUAUUAAAUGCCACAGUUGGUUUUCAGAAAUCUAACUGUGGAUUUGAGAUAUCAUGACUGCAAUUUUUCCAGACAUUUAAAAAUGCAAAUUGCAUAUUGUGUCAACAUAUUUUUUAACUUGGCUUUAUUUCUUACUGUUUAGGAUAAAUUUAGAGCUACUCCUUCCAUCUUGGAGAAUUCUUAUAGUUAGAGAAAUCAAGUAAAAAUUAAUCCUCGUAAGUAGAUUAAAACAAUGAAAAGCCGGCCACCGACUGAACGGUUAAGUGUGUGCUGGACGUGACAAUGAAUUUCAUGCUCUCGCCAGCCCAGGAGGGCACACAGAUGCCGGAAGAGAAUUGAAAACCUGCUUUUCCAUUUUCUCCUCUUCCUCAGCCCUUCCCUAAGGUGCCUGAUCUGUUUCCUUUUAAAACCUUGCUGUUAUCUGUACCUUGUCAUUUUUACUCCGUUUUUCUUUGUAGACGAAUUCCUUGCUGCUUCCUCACGGGAGAUAAACUCAGGCUCCGGUAAAAACAUCUGUCCUGGGCUAGGAGAAGCAAAGGAAGAUGCCUCUGUGGUUAUGUCAAGAGCUGGGAAAUGAGGCAACUGUAUUAAGUUGUCCAGGGAGGACAGAAGCCCAACAAGGAUGAAGAACCUUGAAAAAUCUUCAUUGUAGGUACAUUCAUUGUCUCUGAUGAUUGCUGCCCCUCAAAAGAAUGUCCACACUCCUGAUCACCGCUUUGGCCAUGAAAAAGUUGAUUUUCACUGAACCUUCAGAGGGUGAAGAGGAAGCUUUUCCUUGACCUGUACAUGGGCUGGAAAUAAAUAACAUCUACUUAGGACACCCUGGCAGGGGCUUUCCAAACCACUCCCAGCCCUGGAGAGAAAGAUAAUGAUGUGUUCCAAACAGGUGAGUGACAGUAAGAAAUUAGUGAGUGUGGCAGGUGGGGAAAGCCUGGCAGCCUAUUGCUCCUGCUCUUCGGGAUUUCAAGUCUCAACUGUGGCCACUGGCAAAGUGCCGUGAAAGGGGAGGCUUGCCAGUGCUAAGGGAGUGGCCAAACGAGACUGCUGAAGGGCACUGCGAGCAGGGGCAAAUCCGUACAGGUCUUCAGCCACCUCAACCCUGUCCUCAUCAGAAGAAAGGAUUCGAGUGAGGGGCAAAAGCAGGAGUGAGAGACUGAGUGGAAUGCUCCCAGAGGAAGGUCACAGACUGUUUAGACUGCCAUUUUGCCUCUUAGUGAGCAUGCUCAAGGAUGCUCACCUGGACCCUGAGAUCCGAUCCAGACACCCAUCACCAGUUUCAGGUGUUUUCUGUCUACUGGGAGACAGCGAUUCCCUGGCACCAGCUGCGACCCAUUAUUACUUUGGAAAAACAGCUUAAUAAUUGCCUGCCCAUCACCUGAUGGUCUACUCACAUUCCUGGUGGGAGCAGCUGCCUCUCCUGCCCUGCUCACCUCUGCCUGGCUACCUACUGUAACAGAACAUGUGUCCAGCUGCACCACGUGAGCGAUUUGCGGCGGGACCUGGCCCGGUUCUCCUGACACGUACCUCGGCUCGCGGGCGCUGCCGCAGCGGGGCCGUUUGCGCCCUCCCUUCCGUGAGAAGACAUUUUAAGCAGAAACAGAUCGCAUCUUAAAAGUGAGUGAACUGCUUUAUAUGCGCUAAUCUAGACACUGAUAUCUUUCUUCUCAAAUCAUAGCAAAAUCUGUCUUCUAUUUGUUAUUUCAUCUCAAGGAAAAGAAAUAUUGAGAUUUGUGUUUUAAACCAUACCUAGAUGGUACCGGCUGCUGCUGUGAAAGGUAUUUCAAGUCAGUGAUUUGUGGCUUAAUUUUGGAAAUGAGCAGAAACCCGGGAAGUUAGUUUUCCAGUGUACCCUGAGGUCUUGCCUUUACCGAUUAAGUAGACAUGUUAGAGUUUGCUGCAAGAGCAUUGAAACGAUUGUUUCCUUAAUUAACAAAUUCAAGGCCAGCUAGAAUGAUGAAGUCCGAGUUGGUGGCCAUCCCAAGCUCCGUGCUAACCAGGCAGUCACUUGACUAACGGUUUCCUCGGUUCUUCUGUUUGUUAGUUGAGAAUGAAUUGAUUCAUUUAUUCGGUUGUUUUGUACACUGGAAGAAAUGCUUCAUUCAUUUAUUCCAUGUAUUCUUUAAGUGUCCAUGUGGUGUAUCGGAUACUGGUGACUGAAAGAAAUUGCACAAAAUAAGACCUCUAAGCUGAGGAGUUGAGUUUACUAGAAGAAACAGUCAUAUAAAGAGAUGAGACACAGACUAAUACAGGCCAGGAAGACGAGCACCUGGCACAGGGUGCUGGAAGGCCUGGUAGCGUGUCUGGUUAGGUGGCUGCAAAGGUCUCCCGGAUGUCCCCAGGUGCAGAAGCCAUGCAGGCGUUAAGCCUGAGGGUUGCAUCUGCGAUAACAGCACUACAGCACUGCAGUGCUAUCUCCAAAGAACAGGAGGGCAUUCUGAGAGAGGGCAGCACACGGUUUGGUGGUACAACGGCGGUGGAUGACGUAGGAUAGAAUGAGACGCGGUAGAAAGGUGACACAAAGCGACUCGCUUUGUUUCCCAAAUGAAGGAAACAAAAGUGUAAGGAGAAAAAUAAGUCUCUGAGUAUGGUGAAAAGUUUAAGGAAGAUAAUCUUCAGUUAAUCUGUGAUCUCCAACUGGACAUUUUCCCAUAAAUACAAAGUGUUUGUAGUUUGGUACAAAGGCUUAUGUAGCAUCUAGAUAAAGCAGGUCAAUCAGAAGGUAUUGAAUAAACCAGUGUAGGGUGAUAAUUGACGUUUAGAAUGUCGCACGUGGACACCGGAAGCAUGCGCCUUGUGAAUCGGAGCCAGGGGAGCCUUCAAGGGUUAGGUGUACGUUCAUUGCUUUCGUCAUUUUAAUUAUUUGGUAACCAAAGUUCCCUUUAUAUUCUUGAUGACUGGCUAAUUCCUUGUUUACCUGAAAAUCAAAUCCAGCUCAGCAUCCCAAUUCUUAACAGAUAGACAAUAAGGAACUUACCAUAGUUUACCUUACAACAGAUAUUACAAAGGAAAUUUCCAAGUUUGACUGAGGUUUCCUUAGUCUGUUUGUAUAUGCACUUGUGGGAGGAAGAUACGUAGAAUAAUCAAUUACCGUAGAAGCCAGGGGUAUAAAUAACACAAACAAAUCUCCAGGAGGCAGGCUCCUUGACACCUGCUGUCAUCUAUAACGGGCCACGGAUUACUAUUGUUGACACAUGGGAACAAUUUUACAAUGUUUGUUAGCACCCAUGCAAUGUGGAGAGUGACACCUAGAUUAUGCUAAAUAUGACUUUAUUCUUAAUGUCUGAGGCAAGCUAACAGUUAGAGGCGACUGUCUGCUGCAUCCGCGGAGAUAAGAAGGCACAAAGCUAAGGCUGGUCUCAGGACUGGGGGUCAUGGUUAUCAUUUUAACACACGGCUCUCCACUACAAUACGAUCAGUAUGAUGAGUUCGGUUCAUUGGCGGGUGAAGUGAGGAGGGCCCGGAUGGCAAGGCAUUCUACUCCAGUGAAUAGGACCAUCAGCAAACCAAGCUCUGUGACCCAGGGAGAGAACCAUGUUAUUAGCCUUUAAACAGAGGAGCUGCUCAAUCAGCAUUUCAUGGGCGAAUUAAUGAGCAAUAGAAUGAGUCAACGUAAAAGAGAGAAAGAAUAAUCAACAAGUUUCACAUCUUUGUUAUAAAGUAUGGCGCUGUCAAUAUUAGGUUCUUUACGCUAAUGAGAAUAUAAAUUAGUGGGUGGAAAAAUAUUCAAAGUUCUUCUAAGUAUGUCAUGCUUCUUCUCUACCUGAAAUGUUUCCACAAAGGCAUAAAGAAAGGAAAAUAAUAUUUACUGACAGUCAAGCAAUUUGUAUGCAUUAGCUAAUUGGAGUCCCAGCAGGCCUUCUGGGUAGAUACAUAAUCCCUAUCAAGAGAUCAGGAAUCUCAGCCUCCUAGGACAAUAAAUACAAGCUCAUGAUAUCACAUAUUACAACCUCUGCUAUGAGAAUUCAAAUCCUCUGUCCCGAAGCUAUAGUCUUCAUGCUUUUGAAAUGGGUACUAUCUGUCUUA